AUCUGGCUAGGGCUAGAGGAAGAAUGGAAUAUGAGUGAUGUGGACACAGAGGGAGGUGUUUCUUUUUGCUGCAACUCCUACAUCAUAAUUUUUUUUUUCAGUAUACUUACUAC
rnacentral:ribozyme from 14 species